rfam:Ideonella sakaiensis DNA, contig: ISCTG068.
CCUGGCGUUCAGCCGCCAGUAGCCUAGGUGCAGUGCGAGACCGGCAACGGUCUCGUGCCGAGCGCACUGACAACGUAGCCACCCUUCGCGGGUACGCGGUGCCCGUGAGGGUCGCCGUGUGAUUCUGGGAGUCGAAUCCGGAUGAGGCG